GAAACGCAAACUCGGAGGAACGUACCAGAAGCAGACAUUUGUGUGCUGAGGCUACAAAGAGGAAAAUUAAACGUCCUUGGUUCUUUCAACCACCUCUCUUACAUGUUUUUCAAGUGUUCUCCCCUGCUGGAGCUCUAGCCUGAUGGAGUCGCAUAUACCAUUUGGCGCCAAGAGACAGCAGGCGAGGGCUAGUGUCUCCGUGAGGUGCCCCCUGACCUCCCAAGGAGACAAUCACUCAGCUUCUACGGUGGUCUGACAGCCCCUUCGAGUGACCAGGAUCAUCUGGUGCAGAGUCCGAGGCACAGAGCAUCAAGCAGCUGAAGGAGCUGCCCUCGUGCGUCCCCGCUGUUCUGGCUUCUGAUACUACUGUAGUGGCCCAGAGCUCAGAGCCAGGAGCCUUCAGAAUGGCGUUGACACCUUGGAGCCUGGCAGGAACGAUGAUCAUGCUCUAGUAUCACACUCCAAGCCAUUCUGUUGGACCUGCCAGUUUCAUUAUGAGGACAGACAUUCUGGUUCUCAGAAGAGGCUACCCUGGACCCAGAGGGCCUCUGAACUUAAUAAAUCCCCGUAGAGUGAGCAGAAAAGAGAACGAAGAGAAAGAACUCCAAUUAGCCCAUUGCUCCUAUUUGGAAAACCCUCAGAUAACAUUUUUGGAGUCUUAGAGAAGAGGAUUCACAUGAACAAUAAGCCAUGGCUUUUAUCCGUGUUCAUAGAUCUCAGUCUGUCUGGCUCUAAUUUAAACUAAAAUUGAUUAAAAUAUUAGGUGCUGCUGAAUGUAGGCAGAAGAAUGCCUCAACUAGGAUGACCAGUUUCUCUACAUGGCGCUAACAUGAAGUUACAGAGUCAGCCUGCAGGUGGCAGCAAAAGUUUAAUCCGUGAUUUACAGUUACCAGAAGUAGU